AUGGAGGGCCUUGUCAGCUGCCAAGACCAGUUCGGUCGCAGACACCCCAACCCAGGCGGCACUGAAGGAAUUAAGAAACAGACACAAAGAGCAAAAGGUGGGGCAUCGGGGGCUUCAGCCUUCCCAGCUGAGAGCCAUGAACAGAGUUUGACCCACAUAUUUAUUGACAGCAAGCAAGUGAUAAUCAUCAUUGCUGCAGUUUAUAGAUUAACUAAAAUCAUUCUUCACAGGAACAAAGCAUUCUUUCCUAGUGGCGAUAAACAGGCUCUGAUGCAUAUGUCUACUGCAACUGGAACACAUUUUCAGGGCACCAGUUCCGGAAUGCCUUUAACUGGUCUUCCACCCAGGAAGGGUCAGGUAUUUCUUUCCCUCGCUCCAGUAAACCAACUACCUCCAGCAAUGUGCGUCACUGCCAUCAUAACUCUCCCCGUGACACACGCUCACACCGGGCUCGAGGUGGCGGUGGCGGCUGCGGCGGCAGCGGCUGGGACUCCGACCCCUGGGUUGAGGAUGCGUUCUCCGUGGGGGCGUUGGAACUGCCGGCGGGGACCGCUGGGAAGGCGGGGACGAGGAUGAGAACGUCAAAGCUAACUGGGAUGACGAUGAUGAUUCAAAAAAAAAAACGGAGGAAGGAAAACCAGAGGUAAAAAUUUCAGAAAAGAAAAAAAUAGCAGAGAAGAUAAAAGAUAAAAGAGAAAGAACAGCAACAGAAGAAAAGGCAAGAAGAAAUUAAAAAGAAGUUACAAGAACCUGAAGAACCUGAAGUGCUAACACAAGAAGAACAAUUAGCAGAUAAACUGCGGCUAAAGAAAUUACAGGAAGAGUCCGACCUCGAAUUAGCAAAGGCGUUAAUAAUAGAAACUGAUGAUUUGAAAAAGAUUACCAAUUCACUGACUGUGCUUUGCAGUGAAAAACAGAAGCAAGAAAAGCAAAGCCAAGCCAAUAAGAAGAAAGGUGCGGUUUCUGGAGGGGGGUUAAAAGCCACCAUGAAAGAUGAUCUGGCAGAUUAUGGUGGUUACAAUGGAGGAUAUGUACAAGACUAUGAAGACUUCAUGUGACAUUUUUAUCUUCUCCUGGUGUCAUCUUUAUGUUGCCCACAAUCCCUUGAACACGUAGCACAACAUCCUUUCUUUUCAGUUCUGCCAAAUGCUACAAUCAGAAGUGCAGUGUCUUUUGUGCUUAUUUAACCCCUUGACACUUUGGUGCUAAUGUGCAAAUAAGGGAACUUGGACCUUGCUGCCAAGGGGUUAAAAUUGGGAACCUCAGUUGCUACUAAAUCAUAGUUCAAAACAAACCUCAUAAUGUUGUCAUUGUUGCUAUCUGAUUUCAUAGCAGCAGUCACUAAAUUGGAAAAAUGUUGCAACAUGACAGAAAAAAAAAAUGUGUAGUAUUUACCAGCACCAUUCAGUAAUACAGCCUUAACCAUACCUCCUUGAACUACUUCAUAACUUGUCAAGAAAGGCAGUUUGCAGCAAGGGCAUGUGGUGUGCACCUAGUAGUAAAAUUGCUUUGUCUUAAAAUUGAACAUAAGGAUAUUAAAAAUACAUUGUGAAGAAGACUGCUUAUCUCUGAGUGAAGAUACUGCGGCUGAAAAGCAUUAGUUUGAUAUAAAAUUUAAAUGACCAAAACCCUCCAACUUUGAAGCUAAAAAAGGUAAACCUCUCCAUUAUUGCAUUACAUGUUGUGGAAUCUCUUGAGUGCAAAGACUGUCUAGUUAUUUAUCAGGCUAUUUCUACUGAUGAAGUGCUUCAGAUGGGAGAGGGAAACUCUUUACCUGUUUUUAUUUGCCUGAUUUAAAUGUCUGAGAAACAAAUCUUCGUUCUCUUAGGCUGCAAUGGAACAACUUUACCAGGGUUUUGGCAUUUCCUUUCCUUUAUAAAACAUGCUUAGCAAACUGUACCAGUUAACUACAGUUUGGUAAAUUGUUAACAAUUAUGACAUCUGCAGUGUUUUAUAAAGCAGCUAAUUUAAUAAAAUCACUAUUGUGAGG